rnacentral:rRNA from 1 species
AUUGAACGCUGGCGGAAUGCUUUACACAUGCAAGUCGAACGGCAGCACGGGGGCAACCCUGGUGGCGAGUGGCGAACGGGUGAGUAAUACAUCGGAACGUGCCCAGUCGUGGGGGAUAACUACGCGAAAGCGUAGCUAAUACCGCAUACGAUCUAUGGAUGAAAGCGGGGGAUCGCAAGACCUCGCGCGAUUGGAGCGGCCGAUGGCAGAUUAGGUAGUUGGUGGGGUAAAGGCUCACCAAGCCGACGAUCUGUAGCUGGUCUGAGAGGACGACCAUCCACACUGGGACUGAGACACGGCCCAGACCCCUACGGGAGGCAGCAGUGGGGAAUUUUGGACAAUGGGCGCAAGCCUGAUCCAGCCAUUCCGCGUGCAGGAUGAAGGCCCUCGGGUUGUAAACUGCUUUUGUACGGAACGAAACGGCGCGGGUUAAUACCCUGUGCUAAUGACGGUACCGUAAGAAUAAGCACCGGCUAACUACGUGCCAGCCGCCGCCGUAAGAC